rnacentral:rRNA from 1 species
AUUGAACGCUGGCGGCAGGCCUAACACAUGCAAGUCGAGCGAGCGGCGGACGGGUGAGUAAUGUCUGGGAAACUGCCUGUUGGAGGGGGAUAACUCCAGGAAACGGUAGCUAAUACCGCAUACCAUCAGAUGUGCCCAGAUGGGGUUAGCUAGUAGGUGGGGUAACGGCUCACCUAGGCGACGAUCCCUCGCUGGUCUGAGAGGGUGACCAGCCACACUGGAACUGAGACACGGUCCAGACUCCUACGUGAGGCAGCAGUGGGGAAUAUUGCACAAUGGGCGCAAGCCUGAUGCAGCCAUGCCGCGUGUAUGAAGAAGGCCUUCGGGUUGUAAAGCACUUUCAGCGGGGAGGCGUUACCCGCAGAAGAAGCACCGGCUAACUCCGUGCCAGCCGCCGCGGUAAUGC